rnacentral:misc_RNA from 1 species
UUUCCGUAGGUGAACCUGCGGAAGGAUCAUUAUUGUAUAACCGAGGUGCGAGGGCUGUCGCUGACCCGAAAGGUCGUGCACGCCCGAGUGCCCUCACACACAUCCAUCUCACCCCUAUGUGCACCACCGCGUGGGUCCCCCUUUGGCUUGUUCGGAGGGGGGCUUACGUUUUCACACGAACUUUGUAUGCAGUGUAGAAUGUAUUUUUUGUUUUUGCGAUCACGCAAUCAAUACAACUUUCAACAACGGAUCUCUUGGCUCUCGCAUCGAUGAGAACGCAGC